rnacentral:rRNA from 1 species
GGAAUCAACGCUGGCGGCGUGCCUAACACAUGCAAGUCGAACGAGAAAGUGGAGCAAUCCAUGAGUAAAGUGGCGCACGGGUGAGUAACACGUGACUAACCUACCCUUGAGUGGGGGAUAACCUAGGGAAACCUGGGCUAAUACCGCAUAAUACCUUCGGGUCAAAGGAGCAAUUCGCUUAAGGAGGGGGUCGCGGCCGAUUAGUUAGUUGGCGGGGGUAAUGGCCCACCAAGACUGUGAUCGGUAUCC